GCAGCUCGCCAUGGCCGACCCGAGCCACAUCCAGUCGGCUGCCUCCAAGAGCAUCCGUCCCUUCCGCUCCAGCGAGGAGUACCUGGAGGCCAUGAAGGAGGACCUGGCUGAGUGGUUCAACACCCUCUACGACCUGGACAUCCAGGUGGACACCUUCCUGGAGAGCCUGGAGACGGGCUGCCACCUCUGCCGCCACGCCAACAACGUCAACCGCAUCGCCCUGGACUUCCAGCAGCGGCACCCCGAGGCAGCCACCCAUAUGCGUGUCCCCCAGAAUGAGGUCAUCUUCCAGGCCAAGAAUGUGAUGCCCGGUUCCUUCAUCGCCCGGGAUAACAUCUCCAACUUCAUCCAGUGGUGCCGGCAGGACCUCGGCAUCCAGGACGUCCUCAUGUUCGAGACCAAUGACUUGGUGCUGAAGAAGAACGAGAAGAACUUUGUCCUCUGCUUGUUGGAGGUGGCCAGGAGGGGCUCCAAGUUUGGCAUGCUGGCCCCCAUGCUGAUCCAGAUGGAGGAGGAGAUCGAGGAGGAGAUGAGGGACCAAAUGGCCCUCGCACACACCAGGAGAGCCAGGACCCCCAGGCACCCACCUACCCCAGCAGGACGCGGCCCAUCGCCCUCUGCGACUUGA